rnacentral:rRNA from 1 species
UACGAAGGGGGCUAGCGUUGCUCGGAAUCACUGGGCGUAAGGUGGCGUAGCGGGUCUUUUAAGUCAGGGGUGAAAUCCUGGAGCUCAACUCCAGAACUGCCUUUGAUACUGAAGAUCUUGAGUUCGGGAGAGGUGAGUGGAACUGCGAGUGUAGAGGUGAAAUUCGUAGAUAUUCGCAAGAACACCAGUGGCGAAGGCGGCUCACUGGCCCGAUACUGACGCUGAGGCACGAAAGCGUGGGGAGCAAACAGG